CAGGGAUCAACCAGGGCUACCAGCAUGAACGACGGCGCUUCAAUGCACAAUGAGGGACGUCUGCAGCGACUGAGAAAGGGUCUCACCACAUCCUGACAUGAGGAAAAAGACUUUAUUGAAGACUACAAUGAGAAAAACUAUCAGACAGCAGACGGCAUGCAUUCAAGGUGAGCUCUGAACAUUUGAUCUGGAACAGGAAUUCAAUAACGGCAGCAUGAGCUUCAUUUCAGUCUGUAGCUGCUGAAUUCAUGGAUGAAUCAUCUGGCACUAGAGAGGAAGACCAUCAAACGUCCACGUCAGCUGAUGGAGGUCCAAGAGUCUCACCCAACAAACAACCUACAGAGUGAAGACCUCCAAUCUGAUUGGACGGCCUCCUAUUCAGCCACGUGUGUGAACAAAUGCCUCUAAGCUGAUUUGUUUUCUAAAAUAAAUCUAGUUUGUGUCCUAA